rnacentral:rRNA from 1 species
GAUGAACGCUGGCGGCGUGCUUAACACAUGCAAGUCGAACGAAGCAGAAGGGUGCUUGCAUCUUUUUGACUGAGUGGCGGACGGGUGAGUAACGCGUGGAGAACCUGCCUUACACAGGGGGAUAACGGCUGGAAACGGCUGCUAAUACCGCAUAAGCAUACGAUUUCGCAUGAAAUCGUGUGAAAAGAUUGUAUCGGUGUAAGAUGGCUCCGCGUCCGAUUAGUUAGUUGGCGGGGUAAUGGCCCACCAAGGCAGCGAUCGGUAGCCGGCCUGAGAGGGUGACCGGCCACAUUGGGACUGAGACACGGCCCAG